UGGGGAAUAUUGCGCAAUGGGGGGAACCCUGACGCAGCCAUGCCGCGUGAAUGAAGAAGGCCUUAGGGUUGUAAAGUUCUUUCGGUAUUGAGGAAGGUUGAUGUGUUAAUAGCACAUCAAAUUGACGUUAAAUACAGAAGAAGCACCGGCUAACUCCGUGCCAGCAGCCGCGGUAAUACGGAGGGUGCGAGCGUUAAUCGGAAUAACUGGGCGUAAAGGGCACGCAGGCGGUUAUUUAAGUGAGGUGUGAAAGCCCCGGGCUUAACCUGGGAAUUGCAUUUCAGACUGGGUAACUAGAGUACUUUAGGGAGGGGUAGAAUUCCACGUGUAGCGGUGAAAUGCGUAGAGAUGUGGAGGAAUACCGAAGGCGAAGGCAGCCCCUUGGGAAUGUACUGACGCUCAUGUGCGAAAGCGUGGGGAGCAAACAGGAUUAGAUACCCUGGUAGUCCACGCUGUAAACGCUGUCGAUUUGGGGAUUGGGCUUAAAGCUUGGUGCCCGUAGCUAACGUGAUAAAUCGACCGCCUGGGGAGUACGGCCGCAAGGUUA
rnacentral:rRNA from 1 species